rnacentral:sRNA from 12 species
UAGUAGUUUGAUGGAUCGAAAGAUGAAGGACGAGAAGUUGGAUGGAAAUCUGGUAAAAGGAUUCGGCAUGUUGCGUAGGGAUAAUCAACCACGGAGGGCGAAGAGAUUGUCCUUAUCCUCACAAGGCUAAAAGAGGAGAUAGUGCUUCUGAAUUAAUUCAGAGGGGCGUCGUGAAACACGUUUAGUGGCUCGUCUGUAACUCCCAAGUAUGCGGGGCGAGGAGGAUAAAGCGCAUACCUACA